AAAUUAUAGCUUAAACAAAGCCUCUUGCUUACACCAAGAAAAUGUCUGUGGAAAUCAGACUACUUUGAG
rnacentral:tRNA from 1 species